rnacentral:rRNA from 1 species
UGGGGAAUAUUGGACAAUGGGCGAAAGCCUGAUCCAGCCAUGCCGCGUGUGUGAAGAAGGUCUUCGGAUUGUAAAGCACUUUAAGUUGGGAGGAAGGGCAGUAAGCGAAUACCUUGCUGUUUUGACGUUACCGACAGAAUAAGCACCGGCUAACUCUGUGCCAGCAGCCGCGGUAAUACAGAGGGUGCAAGCGUUAAUCGGAAUUACUGGGCGUAAAGCGCGCGCAGGUGGUUCGUUAAGUUGAAUGUGAAAGCCCCGGGCUAAACCUGGGACUGGAAUCGAAACCGGCCGGGCUGAAGAAGGUCAAAGGCGGGUGAAGUUUCCUGUUUGCUGUGAGAAGGCGAAAGAAUAGAAGGAACAACCAGGGCGAAGGCGACCACCUGGGAUCAUACUGACACUGAAGUGCGAAAGCGUGGGGAGCAAACAGG